AACCAGCACCUCAAGUGGUCAGGAUGAUUAUUGGGCCUAAAGCAUCCGUAGCCGGCUCUGUAAGUUUUCGGUUAAAUCUGUACGCUCAACGUACAGGCUGCCGGGAAUACUGCAGAGCUAGGGAGUGGGAGAGGUAGACGGUACUCGGUAGGAAGGGGUAAAAUCCUGUCAUCCUGAGCGGACCACCUGUUGCGAAGGCGCCACACUAGAACGGAUCCGACGGUCAGGGACGAAGCCUAGGGGCACGAACCGG
rnacentral:rRNA from 1 species